AUACGUAGGGUGCAAGCGUUAAUCGGAAUUACUGGGCGUAAAGCGUGCGCAGGCGGUUUUGUAAGACAGUGGUGAAAUCCCCGGGCUCAACCUGGGAACUGCCAUUGUGACUGCAAGGCUGGAGUGCGGCAGAGGGGGAUGGAAUUCCGCGGGUAGCAGUGAAAUGCGUAGAUAUGCGGAGGAACACCGAUGGCGAAGGCAAUCCCCUGGGCCUGCACUGACGCUCAUGCACGAAAGCGUGGGGAGCAAACAGGAUUAGAUACCCUGGUAGUCCACGCCCUAAACGAUGUCAACUGGUUGUUGGGGAUUUAUUUUCUCAGUAACGAAGCUAACGCGUGAAGUUGACCGCCUGGGGAGUACGGCCGCAAGGUUAAAACUCAAAUGAAUUGACGGGG
rnacentral:rRNA from 1 species